CAAGUAAAACUGGAGAACCGAUGUUAUCGGCUGAGAAGAGGGUAUAACCCGAAGAUUCAUGGAACCUGUUAGUUAGCACUAGCGUAGGGAGUUUUCAAUCGAUAGAA
rnacentral:ncRNA from 1 species